rnacentral:rRNA from 1 species
AUUGAACGCUGGCGGCAGGCCUAACACAUGCAAGUCGAACGGUAACAGAAAGCAGCUUGCUGCUUUGCUGACGAGUGGCGGACGGGUGAGAAAUGUCUGGGAAACUGCCUGAUGGAGGGGGAUAACUACUGGAAACGGUAGCUAAUACCGCAUAACGUCGCAAGCCCAAAGAGGGGGACCUUCGGGCCUCUUGCCAUCGGCUGUGCCCAGAUGGGAUUAGCUAGUAGGUGGGGUAAAGGCUCACCUAGGCGACGAUCCAUAGCUGGUCUGAGAGGAUGACCAGCCACACUGGAACUGAGACACGGUCCAGACUCCUACGGGAGGCAGCAGUGGGGAAUAUUGCGCAAUGGGCGCAAGCCUGAUGGAGCCAUGCCGCGUGUAUGAAGAAGGCCUUCGGGUUGUAAAGUACUUUCAGCGGGGAGGAAGGGAGUAAUGUGAAUACCUUUGCUCAUUGACGGUACCCGCAGAAGAAGCACCGGCUAACUACGUG